UACGUAGGGGGCUAGCGUUGUCCGGAAUCAUUGGGCGUAAAGCGCGCGUAGGCGGCCAGAUAAGUCCGGUGUGAAAGUCACAGGCUCAACCUGUGAAUGCCGCUGGAAACUGUCUGGCUAGAGUCCGGAAGGGGCGAGUGGAAUUCCUGGUGUAGCGGUGAAAUGCGCAGAUAUCAGGAGGAACACCAGCGGCGAAGGCGGCGCUCUGGGCCGGUACUGACACUGAGGAGCGAAAGCGUGGGUAGCAAACAGG
rnacentral:rRNA from 1 species